rnacentral:rRNA from 1 species
UCGCGUCUGAUUAGAUAGUUGGUGAGGUAACGGCUCACCAAGUCGACGAUCAGUAGCCGGACUGAGAGGUUGAACGGCCACAUUGGGACUGAGAUACGGCCCAGACUCCUACGGGAGGCAGCAGUGGGGAAUAUUGCACAAUGGGGGAAACCCUGAUGCAGCAACGCCGCGUGAAGGAAGACGGUUUUCGGAUUGUAAACUUCUUUUCUUAGUGAAGAAGAAAGUGACGGUAGCUAAGGAAUAAGCAUCGGCUAACUAC